GCAGGUGUGGGAGACGGUGACGAUGGCGUUCCCGGCGAUGGAGGACUACUUAUCGGUGUAGUGCUCGUCGGCGAUGGAGAUGGUGGUGUAGCUGCAGGUCCACCGGCUGGAGCGCUCGUCGGAGAUGUAGAUGAAGAUGCGGGUCCACUGGCUGGAGCGCUUGCCGGAGACAGUGAUGGAGAUAAAGCUGCAGGUCCACCCGCUGGAGCGCUCGUCGGAGACGUAGCUGUAGGCCCACCAGCCGGAGGAGUGCUUAUCGGAGAAGGAGAAGUAGCCGGAGGUACACCUGCCGGAGGGGUGCUUAUUGAAGACGGAGAUGAAGCCGUAGGUCCACCGGUCGGAGGGGUACUUGCCGGAUAUGGUGAUACAGACGGGGAAUUUCCAAUCGGAGAAGGUGAAACCGAGGGAGUAUAUGCCGUUGGGGAUCCAGAUGGUGAAGGAGAAGAUAUUGGUGGUGGAACAGUGGGUGUUUGUGUUUGUUUUCGUUGGGACAAAACAACAAGGCUUAAUUUCUGACCCUUCUCACAAUUUUCAUCUUUUCCACUAAUGAAGUAAAAUGGUCCUGAUCGAUCCAACGUCAACUCUGUCUCACCUUCUUCUAAUUUCUUAAUUGGGUUUGUCUUAAUGCACUUUUCAUAAUCUUCUUUCUUCACUUCCAACACCGAGUCUGAACCCUUCUUAUACUUGAAAACUAUAUCAUCAAAUAAAUAAUUAGACCCACAAAUUAUAAUUUACUUUUUUUACGAUUCAAAGGAAAUACAAGGCUAUUAAUUUCAACUUGAAUACAAAAGAGCCUUUUCAAAAAAAUAAAUAACACAAGAGCAACCAUAAGAAAGUAAAGGCUCAAAAUAACAAAAUCCAUGUAUCACAACUAUUUUCUAGAUGUAAAAUCAAUCACACCCACUUGUAAAAGUGAUCAAGUGGAUGGAACAUGAUUUUCAUCGGUCCAAAUCAUGUUUUACAAUUACUUUUAAUCAAAAUCCAUUUUACAAAUUGAAUUCAAUCAAAAUUAAUUUGUACCAUAUUCUUGAUAUCCUAAUGAUCCAAACCGAACUCCUUUUUCAGCCCAAAAUAUAUUUUGAGGUAUAUCAUUAAGAAAAACGUACGUGAUGAACAAAUAAAAACUUCAUCUUUCAAUUGAGUUAAACCAAGGAGUUAUAAAUUACAUUAAAUUAAUAUUAUGUACGGUAUGUUACCUAUAGUGUCCUUGAUUUGGAACCUGUUCCUUGCAGCCCAUUGGUUGUAAUUCUGAGAAGGGUUUAGAGUCCAUCCAUCACUUCCACCUACGUAGAAUUUGAAGGCUUGGGAACUUGAGAGAAGAGUGAAGAGAAAAACGAAAAGAAUUAGAGGUAUCUUAAAAUCCAUAGCAAUCAAGAUGUGUG
rnacentral:lncRNA from 1 species